rnacentral:rRNA from 1 species
UACGUAGGGUGCGAGCGUUGUCCGGAAUUACUGGGCGUAAAGAGCUCGUAGGUGGUUUGUCGCGUUGUUCGUGAAAUCUCACGGCUUAACUGUGAGCGUGCGGGCGAUACGGGCAGACUGGAGUACUGCAGGGGAGACUGGAAUUCCUGGUGUAGCGGUGGAAUGCGCAGAUAUCAGGAGGAACACCGGUGGCGAAGGCGGGUCUCUGGACAGUUCCUGACGCUGAGGCACGAAAGCGUGGGGAGCAAACAGG